rnacentral:rRNA from 1 species
CCUUUGUGACAUACCUUAACUGUUGCUUCGGCGGGUAGGCGUCCCCUAAAAAGGACGUCUCCCGGCCCUCUCCCGUCCGCGGGUGGGGCGCCCGCCGGAGGAUAACCAAACUCUGAUUUAACGACGUUUCUUCUGAGUGACACAAGCAAAUAAUCAAAACUUUUAACAACGGAUCUCUUGGUUCUGGCAUCGAUGAAGAACGCAGCGAAAUGCGAUAAGUAAUGUGAAUUGCAGAAUUCAGUGAAUCAUCGAAUCUUUGAACGCACAUUGCGCCCGCCAGCAUUCUGGCGGGCAUGCCUGUUCGAGCGUCAUUUCAACCCUCAAGCUCUGCUUGGUGUUGGGGCUCUACGGUUGACGUAGGCCCUUAAAGGUAGUGGCGGACCCUCUCGGAGCCUCCUUUGCGUAGUAACAUUUCGUCUCGCAUUGGGAUUCGGAGGGACUCUAGCCGUAAAACCCCCAAUUUUACUAAGGUUGACCUCGGAUCAGGUAGGAAUACCCGCUGAACUUAAGCAUAUCAAACAGCACGAAAGGAGGGCUUUAAUUACUGAGUUAACGCUCAU